AUUGAAAACACUAGGUCGAGCACCACGUUGACAUCGUGGGGGUCACUGGUUCGAGUCCAGUUGUGUCCA
rnacentral:tRNA from 1 species